UUUAGGCCUCAAAUCUUCUCUCCAUUUGAUCAGAAAUCCCAAAACGCGGUAGAAGACGAAGAUGAGCGUCAUCAAACUUCUGACGAGAGUCGAGGCUAUCUGCAACAAGUACGACCAAUACGACAUCGACAAGAAGAAGGACUCUAACGUCUCCGGCGACGAUGUCUUCGCUCGCCUUGAUCUACUCCACCGUCGAGUCCGACAUUGAAGCUGUUCUUCAGGUUUUCUUUGAUUGUAACCCUGACUUCAAUUCUGAAAUUUCACCUAAGAGCAAGAGACUCCGCUUCGAGCUGCUGUUAAUUAUGGCGAAGCUUCCGAGUGUUGAGAUUAAUCCGCAAUUCAUAACAUUUACGCAUGUUACUAUGGAGUCCAAUAAGUACACAUGUGUUCGGGAAACAAUGCUGCAGAAUAGUAUUGUGAUUAUUGAUAUGUGUGCUGAAUCAACGCCGACUCUGCACUUAUGAAUCCAAACUCCCAAAUCCUUGCUUUGUAAGCUCAAGUGCAGGGAACUACUCAAGACCCCCUUAAAAAUUUUGACAUUGAGAUGAAAGCAAAACUAAAAUCACACCUUAUGUCUGAGCAUAUAGGUGGCCGAUGUCUUCUGCAGCAACAUGUGCACUACUUCUCCUUGUGCUCCUUCUUGGUAGCUUUGUCUCACCAUCAACAACAUCACCAGCAGUAUCUAGGUUACCCAGGUCUACAGUCUUCUUCAGAAAUAGGCGCACUAAUUGUCCUCGUGCUCUUUUUUGGUUCUUUCUUUGUCUUACCAUCAAGAUCACAAGCAAUAGGAGCAACAUCUAGCUGAUCUCACACAUCUUCCUCCCAGCUCAAAGGUAUAUGCUGAAUUCAAUUUGCGCUUUGGGAAUCGAGGUUUCUAUAAACAUCAUAACUGGUUCAAUGCCUGCAACCAUGAAGAGGGUUCAGCAAAUUUCAGUUCACUUAAAAUUAUCAGACAGCCUGGAUUUUUUGCUUGGUGAUACUUGCAUUAUUGAAGACAGAGUUACUGUCCGUGCAGUUGUUAAUGCUCUUUAAUCUUGUAAUUCUUGUUUAAUCUUCGUUGUAGUGUAAUUUCAUACCUUAAUCAACUUGAAUUAUCAGAAUAAAGGGUUGCAGACUA